GGACUGGCUGCGGGAAGUUUCACUGUGACAGUGAUCGUUGUGUUUAUACUGAGAUUAUGUGUGUAUAAGAGAGGUAAACAGACGAAUCCAAUGUACGUAACCAGAGG